rnacentral:rRNA from 1 species
GUAACGCGUGGGCAACCUGCCCCAUANAGGGGGACAACAGCUGGAAACGGCUGCUAAUACCGCAUAACAAGGAGAGAGCGCAUGUUCUUUUCUUCAAAGAUUUAUUCGCUAUGGGAUGGACCCGCGUCUGAUUAGCUAGUUGGUGAGGUAACGGCUCACCAAGGCGACGAUCAGUAGCCGGCUUGAGAGAGUGAACGGCCACAUUGGGACUGAGACACGGCCCAGACUCCUACGGAAGGCAGCAG